GGUAGCAGAACUAGCUUGCUAGUUGCUGACGAGUGGCGGACGGGUGAGUAAUGCCUGGGAAUUUGCCUUUGUGUGGGGGAUAACUAUUGGAAACGAUAGCUAAUACCGCAUAACGUCUACGGACCAAAGGGGGCUUUUAGCUCUCGCGCAAAGAGAAGCCCAGGUGAGAUUAGCUAGUUGGCGGGGUAAGAGCCCACCAAGGCGACGAUCUCUAGCUGUUCUGAGAGGAAGAUCAGCCACACUGGGACUGAGACACGGCCCAGACUCCUACGGGAGGCAGCAGUGGGGAAUAUUGCACAAUGGGGGAAACCCUGAUGCAGCCAUGCCGCGUGUGUGAAGAAGGCCUUCGGGUUGUAAAGCACUUUCAGUUGUGAGGAAAGGUUGAUGGUUAAUACCCAUCAGCUGUGACGUUAGCAACAGAAGAAGCACCGGCUAACUCCGUGCCAGCAGCCGCGGUAAUACGGAGGGUGCGAGCGUUAAUCGGAAUUACUGGGCGUAAAGCGCACGCAGGCGGUUUGUUAAGCUAGAUGUGAAAGCCCCGGGCUCAACCUGGGAAUAGCAUUUAGAACUGGCAGACUAGAGUCUUGGAGAGGGGAGUGGAAUUUCUGGUGUAGCG
rnacentral:rRNA from 1 species